UAUUAGGUUGGUGCAAAAGUAAUUGCAGUUUUUACCAUUAUUUUUUAGGGUCAAAAUUGCAAUUACUUUUGCCCCAACCUAAUA
ensembl:miRNA